GGGCUGUAGCUCAGCAGCAGAGUGCCUGCUUGGCAUGCAGAAUGUCCCAGGUUCACUCCCUGGCGUGAUCCU